GGAGGAAAAGUGUGGGGAGGAAACAGGUUUAGAUACCCCUGGGUUUCCCCCCUGUAAACGUUGGGAAAGGUCUGGGCGACAUUCCAAGUUGUCCGCCCCCCUAACGCAUUAAGUUCCCCGCCUGGGGAGUACGGCCGCAAGGCUAAAACUCAAAGGAAUUGAUGGGGGCCCGCACAAGCAGCGGAGCAUGUGGCUUAAUUUGACGCAACGCGAAGAACCUUCCAAGGCUUGACAUUACCGGAAACGUCUGGAGACCGGCGCCCCCUUGUGGUCGGUGUACAGGUGGCAUGGCGUGUCAGCUCGUGUCUGAGAUGUUGGGUUAAGUCCCGCAACGAGCGCAACCUUUUCUGUGUUGCCAGCAUGCCCUUCGGGGUGAUGGGGACUCACAGGAGACUGCCGGGGUCAACUGGAGGAAGGUGGGGACGACGUCAAGUCAUCAUGCCCCUUAUGUCUUGGGCUGCACACUGCUACAAUGGCCGGUACAAUGAGCUGCGAUACCGCGAGGUGGAGCGAAUCUCAAAAAGCCGGUCUCAGUUGGAUUGGGGUUGCAACUCGACCCCAUGAAGUGGAGUUGCUAGUAAUCGCCAGAUCCAGCAUUGCUGCGCGUGGAAUGUUCCCCGGGCCUUGCUCACACC
rnacentral:rRNA from 1 species